rnacentral:rRNA from 1 species
GACGAACGCUGGCGGCGUGCUUAACACAUGCAAGUCGAGCGAGAAACCUUCGGGUUUCUAGCGGCGGACGGGUGAGUAACACGUGGGUAACCUGCCUCAAAGAGGGGGAUAGCCUUCCGAAAGGAAGAUUAAUACCGCAUAAUAUUACAGUUUCGCAUGAAGCAGUAAUUAAAGGAGUAAUCCGCUUUGAGAUGGACCCGCGGCGCAUUAGCUAGUUGGAGAGGUAACGGCUCACCAAGGCAACGAUGCGUAGCCGACCUGAGAGGGUGAUGGGCCACAUUGGAACUGAGACACGGUCCAGACUCCUACGGGAGGCAGCAGUGGGGAAUAUUGCACAAUGGGCGAAAGCCUGAUGCAGCAACGCCGCGUGAGUGAUGAAGGUCUUCGGAUUGUAAAGCUCUGUCUUUUGGGACGAUAAUGACGGUACCAAAGGAGGGAGCCACGGCUAACUACGUGCCAGCAGCCGCCGUAAUAC